rnacentral:rRNA from 1 species
GAUGAACGCUGGCGGCGUGCCUAAUACAUGCAAGUCGAGCGAACAGACGAGAGUGCUUGCACUCUCUGACGUUAGCGGCGGACGGGUGAGUAACACGUGGGUAACCUACCUAUAAGACUGGGAUAACUUCGGGAAACCGGAGCUAAUACCGGAUAAUAUUUAGCUUCGCAUGAAGCAAUAGUGAAAGACGGUUCUGCUGUCACUUAUAGAUGGACCCGCGGUGUAUUAGCUAGUUGGUGAGGUAACGGCUCACCAAGGCAACGAUACAUAGCCGACCUGAGAGGGUGAUCAGCCACACUGGGACUGGGACACGGCCCAGACUCCUACGGGAGGCAGCAGUAGGGAAUCUUCCACAAUGGACGAAAGUCUGACGGAGCAAUGCCGCGUGAGUGAAGAAGGUUUUCGGAUCGUAAAACUCUGUUGUAAGGGAAGAACAAAUACGUUAGUAACUGAACGUACCUUGACGGUACCUUACCAGAAAGCCACGGCUAACUACGUG